ACCUCCCCUUGUGAGCUAGCUUUUAAGGUGGAGUUAGGCAAAUUCAUAUCAGUAUUUUAAGCACUUUAUUCAAAAAUAGAAUUAUUCAAGUCUAGUUUUACUCAAGGUUGAGUUCCUUAAACGCUCAGAGAUCGGAAGGUUCUCUCUAACAAACCUUCAUUUUACAUUCACAAUAGGUAACAAAGGGAAAGGCCAUAAAACUAACAAGCCGCAAUCCAGCAGUAUCCUAUUAGAUUUCCCUAUGAAUAGCCCAUGUACUCAAUCUCAGACUUAGGAGUCAGGACCAUAACAAAAUACCUUUUUCAUCUAGGUAUUUUAGUAGAGACUUUCCUUCUGACAAUACGAGAAUUGAAAUUAUAAAUAAAUACAAAAUUUGAGAAAAUUGUUUCUCAUCCCCUUUUGAGUGUUAUAUUGUGUUCUACAUCACAGAUUGACUUUUAAGUUACAUCAUUAUUGGCAAGAUGUACGCACAAUUAAAAAGUAAGUAGGUAAAAGAUACAGACAUAAGAAACCUACUUGCAACUCUUCCACA
rnacentral:misc_RNA from 1 species